CUAAUGGCUGCAAUCAACAUUCAUUGCUGUCGGUGGGUUUUCAUUGCUAUCAACUCACUGAUCAAUGAAUGCAAACUGCGGACCA
ensembl:miRNA